rnacentral:rRNA from 1 species
GUACCGCGGCUGCUGGCACAGAGUUAGCCGUCCCUUCCUCUUUCGCUACUAUCAGCUCACAACGUGUUAGGUUGUAAGGUUUGAUCGCAAAUGACAGGGGUUUACGGGCCGAAGCCAUUCAUCCCCCACGCGGCGUCGCUCCUUCAGGGUUUCCCCCAUUGAGAAAAAUUCCCGACUGCUGCCACCCGUAGGUGUCUGGACCGUGUCUCAGUUCCAGUGUGACUGGUCGUCCUCUCAGACCAGCUACCCGUCUUAGCCUUGGUGAGCCGUUACCUCACCAACUAGCUGAUAGGCCGCGGGCUUAUCGAGAAGCGUCAGGCCUUGCGGUCCCCGACUUUAAGUUCCAGAAGAUGCCUUCCGGAAAUCACAUCCGGCAUUAGCUCGCCUUUCAGCAAGUUAUUCCAGACUUCACGGCAAAUUACCCACGUGUUACGCACCCUUGCGCCACUCCCACUACCAAAUAUUGCUACCCAGUAGUAGUCGUUCGACUUGCAUGUCUUAUCCACGCCGCCAGCGUUCGUUCUGAGCCAUGAUCAAACUC